AGCCACUUACACCUUCAAAAACAGCAACCCAUUUACUUCGUCAGUUCCUCCAGUCAAUACACAUAUGCCCAUUGAAUGUGUCGAAACCUCCGUCCUCAAAAAACCUAUUGCCUCUCUCUCUCUCUCUUCUCACAAAACGUGAAACCAUCUCUUCUCUAUCACUUAUUUACUCUCUCCUCCGUUCUCCGUCCUAGUCUUCUGGCAAACUCCUCUGCGAAAUUGAAAUGGGUUUGUUUGUAAUUGCGAGUUUCUCUUAGAUUUAGGGUUCGUAGGGUUCCAUUCUCUUAGAUGGUUCAUCUUCCUCUUCAGCGACAGGGGAGAUAGAGUGCCCAAGAUCCACUUUCUCUCUCCUCCUCGCCUUCAAACUAGGUUCAAUUGAAGAGAUACUGAAGAUGAAGGUAUCCGAGACGGCAGAGGCGAAUGUACUGUGCUACGCCGACGAGGUGGCACUAUGCUGGGUUAAUUUGUACAUGUUUAAAUAUUCGCAGAUUGAGGUCUAAGAUACGGCACCACUAUCUAUAGAAUCGAUAAGAGCAGCAGAGAAAGCAUGAGACCCUUAUCGACCCUAUUAACAAUGCCCUUAUUCUUCGUUUUGUUUGACGGAGGAGGAGGAAGGACUUGUCACGGUGGCAUCAUCCUCCGCCCCAAAAAGGUAUUAUUUUCUUUCAAUUGGUAAAAAGCCGGCUUUUUUUCGUUGAAUUUUACAACAACGAAGAAGAAGCUGUAGCCACAGAUCGAGCUAGAAUCCAUGGGCGAGGUGGCGGAAGCCCUAUGAGAGGACCAAAUCUCGACCGCAGCUCUCGUCCGUCGUCCUUAUGAUUGUUGUUGCUUUUCUUUUCGUCUCUGGUGGCUUGCUUUCCUGUUAGUUAUCAUACUGCUAUGGUAGGUCCACUUGAUCGACGGGCCAUGAAGAACAAAACCAAUUUCCUCUGAGAGGUAAGUUUGCUUCUUCCCCUUCCACUUUCUCUAAAGAUCAAACUCCACAACUGAGAGAGAUCUUGCUAGAGAUGAAGAAGCUAGCCAGAACAUUCAGAAAGUCUGAGGACGAUGAGCUUUCUCUUCCUACUCAUGGAUGUCCUGACUCCCAUGGAUUCCCAAGAACAAGAGGAACUAGUUCGAUCGUUUGAAAGGAACCAAGCUCAACAAAGUCGUUUCUGGAACUGGUCUGCAUCACUUAUUUUCUGCUUCACUGCGUUUCGUAUGUACUCAAUCUUUCAGCAGGUUUCAUAUCCCUGGGAAUUGGUAUGAGUAUCUCCAUCUCAAAAACGGGGAUCAAUUUCUAUUAUUACAAAUGUGGUGCAUGUGUGGAUCAUUCUUGAUAUUAUUUAUGGUAUUUGUUUUCGUGAUUAGUAUUAGGAGAUAUUAGUACUAGGAGCAUCUAUCUCUCUACUGUCUCUGUUUAUGUUUCAUUUAAUUGGACUGGUGGUUGAAAACUGACUUUAUUAGGACCGCUAGGACAUAUUUCUAUGUGUUUAAUGAUUAUGGAAUACAACAUGCACCUAUAUGUAACUCCUCAUAAUUAACUGCACGUCUGCACCUAGAUGUUUUCCUUGGCUCGUAAUAGGAUAUAGCUCAUAACUGAUUCAGGAGGGGAUUUCUUAGUGGGAUCAGAGGGUCUUGGAGUUAGGAGGGAGUGUUUGAUGGAUAGGGAAUGGUUCCGUCUGUGUAUUGUGGUUUAUAUUGAGACAUGGGAAAGACAUGUCUUUUGAGAAUGCAGAGAUCCCAUUUGGAGUUCUAAAGCACUAUAUUAUCUGCACCUUGCCUAGGGGUCAGUUGGUGAAGAGAUCGAGUGCUUUAAUAUUUAGGCUAUUGAUGAUUGUAGACACUUGCCGUAUACUGCAUCUGAACUGUAUUGAUAGACAAAAAUAUGCUGUCUAUAAACCAAAACAACUUCAAGAAAUGACUGGGCACUCUUUUCCCUUUUUCCUCUUAGGAAGAAACCUUCUAGACAAUUUAAACAUUGUUUUUCACUAAUUGGCUUCAAUAGUUCACAGAGUUGUUGAUCAAUUUAUAAUCUUUUAAGUUUCCUUUUGACUAGCAAUGCUCAGUUGCUCAGAUCAUAACAAAAGGCCAUUAGACUAACUUGCUAGUUAAAUAAUAAUGGCAACUAUCCAGCAAUUUCAUACCAUUAAGUUUUCCAGACACGUCGCUAAAAUACAGCAUAAAAUUGAAUUACUUUAUUGCAAUGCUGUUCUUUAGAGAAAACACACUGCUUUGAUGUUGUUGUACUUGUUUCUAUAAUAUCACAAUAGCCCUUAUUAAUAUGAAAGUCAUUAGUCAGGGUCACUUUACUCUAGACCCACGGUCCCUCCCCCCUCUCUUCUUUACUUUAUAUUUUUAGCUUAUUUUUUCUUCUUGUGGUUCCUUUCUUCAGUUUUUAAGUAUACCUCGAUCUUCCAAACAAGACUAGAGAGGCCAUUAUUCUCAAGUAAAAAGGAAGAAGAAAAAGCAAAAAAACCUCAUCUGAAGAUCUCCAAAUGAUGACUUGAGAUUCAUUUUCAAAUGCAACUUUUUUACACCAUAUAUGAGAUUUUGAGUUAAAGGAGUGCUAAUAGGGUUUAUAAUACGUGUAUUUGGGUAGAAGAAGAUUAGUUUGUGAAGAUAGAAUAGUUUUCUUUCAAAGUUGAAAUAGCAAUUUCCAUGUUGGCCUUUCUCCACAAGUUUGCAAUAAUAUAGAAAUAACUCAAAGAUACCAAGCAACAGUAUGACUACUUCAAUGAUAUUUUGGUUACAAAAGAAAAAGGUUUUGCCUCGAGUUUGUUGAUCCAGGAAGAACAGCUAGUGUCGUCAAUAUUUUGACCAAUUGCCAAAAACUUGAUCCCUAGUAUUUUCCAAUUAUUGCAAAUUUAUGUCAUUGUUGAUGCAGUUUGAGUUUAAAUGUUGUUUUUUUUUUCCCUUUCUUUGGUCUUAAACUUUUAUUUCGGCUUUUUGAUAGCUAAAGUAAUAAACUUAACAUAUUUUCCUGUAAUACAGGCAAUAUGUAUAUGUGGCCAUUAAUGGUCUCGAUUAAUAUUCAAUCACACUUUUCUGUAAUUAUUCAAUGUUUUUAGUAGUAUACUAAUGAUAUCAUGCAUGAAUUGAAUGAUUUUGAACAUUGUCUUUUAUUUCUACUUUCUUGGUUUGUGAAUUUUUGGAGAUGUAAGACUUGGUUGAUUUUUUUAUUGCUGUUGGGCUAUUAAGGAAGUAGAAAAGUUCAUCAAUAAGUGAACAUACCUGACUUAGCUGUGUCAAUUUAGCACUACAAGAACAUCAACAUAUGCCCAUUAUUUUUGGACUGCUUUUGAUUUUUCUAUAUCCUUUAUUAGGUUUCUUAGCUGAAUUAACUUAGGGUUUGAAUGUAAAUGUUGUAGUGAUCAGCCAACAUUAUCACCGUCCAUGCUUUAGUUUUACUACCUUGUAACAUAAUUGAGCACACAGUUGCCUCUAUUAUGUGCUCACUUUUACAUCUUUCCACUUUUCCUGCCCCUCUAGUUUCUGUUCUUGUUAAAUUGAGUGUAACAUGGUUCCUAGUAUUUAGAGUGAAAUGCAUUCCAUAGUCUGCUUCUGAAAGUAAGGUCUAAACUCGUCUCUUUAGAAGAAAUCGACUCUUAUAAUUAGAGGUAUGUGUCAUUGAUAAUUAUGAAAUUUAUGCUUCUCCUUUGGGAACUAACUAAAGGAAAAGAAAACAAAUUCAUACUACAUGGUAGGUUCAGGUAAGUUUAGCCAUUGUUUUGUCUGUAGAAGGCACUUUCAUGAUACUGCAAGUAUGUAAUUGUGAAGUGAGUGUGUCAGUCUAUGUAUGAAAGGGAAUGUCUUCUUAAUUGAACUGGUGAGUUGCAUGCCUCACAUGACUGUUCUUUUUCAGUUGAGUUGCUGGUAUAAUUCAUGUAUAACAUAUGGGAACUAAUAUAUGGUACUAAUCAUUUAAGUAAUUCAACUUCACUACACAUUCAAAUGUAAGUUUGGAUUUGGAGGUAUUGAUUUUCAUUAUCAAGCUCGAACCUUUAGUAGUAUAUCCUCAUGUGGUUUGGUGAUAGAAAUGACCUGUACAAUUUGUUGUCUGCAAGUAUGAGAGCUGAUAUAAGCAAAAGGCUGCCCUGCAUUGAGAAUGAGAGCUCGACCCAUCACUUAAAGAUCUUGCAGGAGAGUUGGAAGGAGCCAUCAAGUUGGUUGAAGGAAAGCAUUUUGUUAAGUUCUGCUGAUACAUAUAUUCACAUGCAGCAACUGCGUAUGUGCAUGUUUUAUAUUGUAUCAGCUUUUGCUUUUUUAAAUUGUUAGUUAGAAUGCAGCAACCAUCAAGCUAGCUAGAAUGCUUUCUUUUUUUGUUACAUGGUAUAGAUGAAUGUAUGGAUGAUUGAUAAAUGCUAGCUCUUU